CCAGGAGCGAAAGCUACGGAAGACGGAAGGACGUUUGCAAAGAAAGGGUUGGCAUUUCAAGUCUUGCAGGAAGAGAGGGAACAGCUUAGUUCCCGGAGCAGGGCACGAUUGGUCGCGCUUCCUGUGACGUUAAAUGGCAGAGGCCAAAGGGAUUCCUCGGGCAGCCUCGCGGGACAAAGGCGGCAAAGGCAGAUACACUUACACGAAAUGUGGCACUUGUCACAUAUGAGAUUCUCUUGGUUUUCUUUUUUUAACCUGUUCGUUUGUCUUCCAGUCCUGCUUCACCAAGGCCAGAGACUUGAAUCCUUGGUAACCCCAGGGCCUCGUACGUGUAGGCACUCAAAUACUGUUUCCUGAAAUAAUCCGAAUUCAUCUGUCUACAUAUGAAAAUAAUAACCAACUGAGAAACGCCGGUGACAAUAGUUAAACGUUCGUUAGAUAGUUACUGUGUAGCAGGUAUUGCCUUUUAUGUGGAUACCCUUACUCCUCAAAGCAGCCCUAUUAAAUAUAUGUUACUAGAAUGUUAUUUUUCAGGUGAGGAAACUGAGGCAUAGGGUGAUUUGUCCAAGAUCAGAGAAUGAGGAACUAGCAUCACUGAAGGACAUUAGCUCUGCACUUAAAACUACAAUGAAGUAUCAGUUUCCGUUUAAACAAAUCGUUUAAAUUGUAGGUGUCAAUUGUGAUCUAACCCUUAGUAAUUACUAAGAAGUCUUUUCCACUUCUGUUUCAUCUUUUGUGGAAGAGAUGUACAUACCGAAAUAUCUUACACAUUUAAAACUUAAACUUGCAGACAUAUUACACAUUCUUAUUGUUUGCAUCCUCUAUGAUGUAUGAUUUUACUGGAAAUUAGUGCAGUGUCUACAAAAAUAGGAACAUCUCUGAGGAUGCCAAAAAAUAAACCUUAAAAGAGUAUUGGAAAAUAAGUGAGCUACUAAAUUAAAAAGACAAGAUAAUUCUGAGAGGUGUUCUACAAUUUUUCUUGAUCAUUUAUGUGUAUGAUACUUUUAUCUAGAAAUUGAAUUUCAGAGCUGGAUGGAAAUGUAAAAGUCCAGUUCUUUCGUUUUAGUUCUGAGAAAGCUGAUCUGAAAGAGAUUAAAUGUUGCCCAAAACUGAACAGAGUUUUACAACAAGAUGAAGCAGGUCUUUGGAUGUCCUAAUUUUAGAGUUCAGUAUAUUAAGUUAAUGAUAUUGGCAUCAUGGUAUUCCAUAUGCAAAAUCAGAUUUUCAUAACAACAGUGAAAUUAGUGUGACUGGUAUAUUAUCCCCAUUUCCUUUCCUGGAAGUCACAUUGUUUUAGUGGCAAAAGCAGCUGCCUUCAAACCUGGAGACUGUACUUGAAGGCUAGACCUCACGUCAAAUUUUGUUCUGCUGCACCAAGUCAUUGGGUGAGUUACUCAAGUCUUAGUCUCAGUCUCAGUCUUCUCAUCAGAAAAACGCUGUGCUAACACCUGUGAAGAAUUAUCAAAGGGGUAGAGAUUAUAUAACCCGUUUAGCACAGAGCAAAUGUUUAAUAGCUGGGCUGGUUCUAAGAAAGUUUUCAGUCAUAGGAAUCCAUAAAAAGAAUUGGAAAAAAGGCAGGCUUUGGAGUGGCUCAGACUUGGACUGUGACCCUGACUCCAGCACUCACCUAGAAUAAAUACUUCACAUCUCCCCACUUUAGCCUCCUCCUCUGUGAAAAAGAAAUUACAAAGCCCCCUCACAGGUUGUGAGAUUGGAGCUAAAGUAUAUAAGGUGACUCCCCUAUUGUCUACAUGGAGGUUUGUUGUAUUAUUGACUAUCAUCAAAGGAGGUAAGUGGUAGGAUGGUGGUGUAGGUGGGGGGAAAAAUUGAGUUUCUGAGUCUGAAAAUGUGGUUACAGGUCCGUGGUGUAUUUUUUCACCCUGUGUUUUCUCCAAGAUUAGACCAUUCCCCUAACCUGAAGCCUCAAGUUCUUCAAAAUGUUUUGUGGCAGGUAAGAUUUAUGCUUUUUUUUCCUCCCAGUACUUCCCAGUUUAAAACUGAAAGUACUUUCCUGCUUAAAACUAAAUCCAUUAAGAUAAUUCUAGAUGCCUCGGAAGCAAACAUCUCAGGAUAGAGGAAAUACCCUCUGGGGCAGGGGAAAAAUAUCAAGAUUAAGAGAGAAGGAAGCAGAAUAAGAGUCUAACACCACCAUCCCAAGGGAAGGAGAAACUGCCCCCACUCCAUCCUGGGCAGAGUCUUGGAGAAGAGAGCCUCAGAGAAGUUGCAGCCUGUUGACUGUUUUAAUCAGUUUCUGAAGUAGAAAGUUGGGAUUGGAGGAGAAUUUCAUCUCUAACAAGUUCUGGGGUGAUGUUUCAAAUAUGUCCACAUCACAGAGAUCUCUGCUGCAUUGCAGAGGGAGGAAGCCACGGGCAUCCCGAGCAUCACAGAUCCUCAAGCCAGGCAGUCCCCAUGAUGGGAGGGGCCAGGUUAGUCCCCAACGAAAUGUAAGACUGAAAACCAAACACCAGAGUGAACAAAGAACACCCAACAAUCCUUGUGGGGAACCGCAAUGCAAGGACCUCAAUGUCCCCUUCUUCUCAUGUUGGCACUUCAGAAUGCCCUAACCUGGAUGCAGCUCUGAGGGGUGGGGGUGGCCUUCACUGAUAAGAUUAUUAUCAGUGCAGCUCAGUGGGGCCUUAAAAUAGAAAUAAAGCCCAGUUACAGGAAAAAACUUCUAUUUGUUACUCAUUUGCAUUUGUAGACAAAUUUAUUCCUGCUACAGUAUUAUCCAUGAAUAUUACAUAGUAACCAUAAAUUUUUAAGUUCAGUAUUAUGAGAAUUUUCCUUUCACUCAAAGGUAAUGAGAUUUUAUUCAUCCACAUUUUCAUUUGGUGCCUAUAGUUGACAAAAACAAAGCUGAAGGAAACCAACAAACACUGCUCCACCUGGCAUCAUCACCUCACUAGCUGUGAGCUCCUCGAGGACAGGGUUCAUACAUUUCCUCUAAAUGUCCCACCUGAUCAUGUGCACAGUGCUUGCACUUAGUAGGCAGUCAAUAAAUGUUUAUUAAUUGAAUGAAUCAUGGAUACAAUAUAUACUGAAACCUUUGGGUGUUGAUUCCUCUUGUUGGUAGUGUAAUAUAGAGAAAAUGGAAGUUCCUAUGGCCGGGUUCCUCUCCUGACCUUGGUCUGCUUGCCCACUGUACAUGGGUAAUGCUCACAGGUGCUGGCUUGCACACGUGUUGACAGUGAGAUGUUAUUAUUGACUCUAUAUAAAGAACUUCACCCAGUGCUCUGGGGCUGUGAGAUGGCGGAGAGGCCCAGGGGCAGAGACCAGCUUGCCGCAUGCAGACUGCUCUUGAGGCGGACAGGGUCCUAGCACUUGACCUGUUACCAAGAAAAUAAAGAUGGCUGUAAACUCUUACCCCUAAUGUUCUGUUGUUAUUUGGUCUCACCAUAUCCAGAGUGAACUUGCCCAGGGGCAAUUCCCCCAAGCAAGACAAUUGGCAUAGUUGGCAGGAUUUGCUGCAGAUUGAAAAUGGAAAUAAAUGGCCCUCUUGGGAGGGGUACUUAAGUGACUGUCCAUGUGGAUGUGAAGACACUUGGGUAUCCCCCAGUGGGCAUGUGGUCCUUCCUCCUAGAGGAUUGGACCCCUCCCCAGGACUGGGGGAGAUGGAGGUGAUGCCUAAGGCAGUAGAGGCAGCCUUCGCAAAACAGGGAAUUCCUUAGAGAAAAUGCUCUGUAAGGCGGUGGGAACCAUGGUUUGCUAUUCUUCACAGAGUUAAAAGGGCCAUAAAGGAGAAUGACAUACUCCUGCAAGAAGCAUGAGAAGAGGUAGCACAGUAACACAGGCUGCAAGGUGUUGUGGAGGAGGUAAAAAUAUUUGUUGAUGACUUAGGUGGCAUCACUGUGAGAUGCUAUGGAGAUGGUAAAGGAUGUAAUCGUAACAUGGGAAGAAACAGCACAAGAAUGCAGGCUGCAAGGUACUGUGGGGAGGUGAAGGAGGUAGUGGUGCUGUUAACUCUGGAAGUGGUAGAGGAUGCAUCAGAAAAGGAUGAGGGGGUGGGGGUGGGGGUGGUCCCAUAAGUCUGGGAACUAUGGCCUGGAUGAGGACUUAUUUAUGGCAGGGAUGAGGGAUAUGGUGCUGCAAAUGGCUCCUUCAUCCCUCUUUGGAACUUUAAUGGCCAUUCUUUCUCAUGAUUUAGGGCAGCCCAUAAAUGAGGUUAUUCACAUGGUAGCAGAUUUGGGAGAGGCUGAAGCAAUGCGAGCACAGAAGGAAAUAAGAUCCACUACUCAGAGGAAGAGCUAUAGGGUCCCAUGGAGGUCAUGAGGACCCAGAUGUGGGUUGAUUUAAUAAAGGCAGGAGCAAAUGAGAAAUUGUAUGGGAAGUCAAAUAAAAUCUUAUUGGAGCUGUAGCAACAAUUGAAACUGGAGCAAUGGUUUCAGCAACUGAGAACCAAGAAAUGGAAACCAGAGACAAAACCAAAAGUCUGGCCUGUGUAUCUGCAGGACUUCUGCUGGACAGUAAGCCAGAUUGGCCUGGACCCUCAUAGGAAGAUAGAAGGGAGAUAUGGUUUGACUGAGGGGUGGGUCAAGGCACCUGUUUUGGGGGGCCAGGUGGGGACCAGAGGCCACAUGUUGAAAUCUGAAUUCAUUGGUCCCCAGUGAAUGUACAACAUGUCUUGGUUCUGGCAGGUUCAGGAACUGAAUGCUCACUAAUUUAUGGCAACCCUUGAGUGAUUUCCUGGGAUCCCUGCUGUUAUAUGUGGAUAAAGCCCAAAUCCCAUUGAGACUAGGGCAUCGACUCCCAAAGGAGUAUACUUUGUAUCUCUCCCAUCCUUGAAUAUAUUUUGGGGAUAGAUAUCCUGCAGGGCCUAUGGUUGCAGACCACUGCAGGUGAGUUCAGACUGAGAGUAUGUGUGGUGAAGGAAUUUCUGAAAGGACAUGUUAAGCACCUGCCCAUAGCUUUGCCUUGGUGGGUGACUAAUACCAAACAAUACAAAUUGCCUGGAGGGCAUAAAGAAAUUGGAGAAACCCUCCAGGAACUAGAGAAGGUGAGUAUUAUAAAACUCACUCAAAGUCCUUUUAAUUCUCGGGUGUGGCCAGUAAAAAAGCUUGUUGGCUCCUGGUGUAUGACCGUGGAUUACAGAGAACUGAAUAAAGUCAUACCCCCUCUGCUUGCUGCUGUCCCCUCUAUUGCAGGACUUAUGGACACCCUCAGCCGGGAUAUAUCAUUUUGCUGUAGAUCUUGCUAAUGCCUUUUUUUCCAUGACAUAGAACAGGAAAGUCAGGAACAGUUUGCCUUCAUGUGGGAAGGACAACAAUGGACUUCCAUUGUCCUUCCACAGGGAUACCUGCACAGCCCCACCAUCUGUCACAGACUUGUAGCCCAGGACUUGGUAACAUGGGAGAAACUGUAAACAGUACGGCUGUACCAUUAUAUUGAUGAUAAUGUGCUCACGUCUGAUUCUCUUGCAGAUUUAGAAGGGGCAGUUCCUAGACUGCUGCAACAUCUACAGGAGAAAGAAUGGAUGAACAGCACCAAGAUUCAGGGACCUGGUUUGUCAGUCAAAUCCUUGGGGGUUGUCUGGUUGGGCUACUGGAGAGUGCCUCACCUGUACAAUUUCAAGUACAGAUCAAGAAGAAAUCAUUGAAACCAAGGUUUGGCCACCAAAAAUAAUGAUCUUGCUAUGAGCACUGACUGCAAUAAACCCUGGGGAUUCCAUUGAGUGGAUGUGACCUUGGACAUUUUGACACAUGGACCAGUGAUGGCUUGGCAUCUUGGGGACAAGAUUUUGCCUAUGUUGGUGUCACUAAAACAUGUUUCAUAUCAUCCUUAAGGUUAAUCUCCUCUAGUGUCUGUGUGAAUUGGGCAGACAUCCUAGCAAAAACUGCUGCUUGCUGGGUGAGCACAGCAAGUGUGAGUCAUAGACUCAUCUGAGUAGAACUGGUUUGAUACAGCCGGAAUGGUCACUUGGUGGCAAUCAAUCUCCUUAGGCUUGAGGAUUAUCAUAAUUUCUUUUGUUAUCUGUAUUGUAAUUUUCCUUAUUUGUAUAUUUUUGUAGCCUCUGUUGCUGUUGUGGAAUCUGGUUACAAUGCUCCAGCUUUCUUGCACAGGGACCGUCACAGAAGAUGGUGGGUGCAUAGACUGUGACAUGAGAAUCCUGGAGGAGUGGAGGGUGUGGAAAACAUAAGUUCCUAUGGCCAAGAUGCUCACUUGCCCCUGAUACACUCGCCCGCUGUGCAUGUCCAAUGCUUGCAGGUGCCGGCUCACACUUGGGUUGCCAGUGAGCUAUUAAGAGCUCCGCCCAGCGCUCUGGGGCUGGGAGGCGGUGGAGAAGCCCAGAGGAGAGACCAGUUUGUAUACAUACUGCUCUGGAGGCGGACAGGAUUCUAACGCUUGACUUACCACCACAAGAAUUAAGUUGGGUAUAAACUCUUUUACCCCAAGAAUGUUCCAUUGUUGUUAUUUGGUCUCACAUAAUCCAGAGUGAACUUGCCUGGGGGGAAUCCCUCUGAAGUGAGACAUUUAAUAUGUAAGAUUUAUGUUACAAAUAUUUUAUCGUUAGUUGUCAAAAAUAUAUCUGAGCAUAGAAAGAACCACAGUUCUACUUUGAGUUUUAAAUAACUAACUUCUGUAACUAUAAUAAUGAUUUUUAAAAUUAUAUAUAAUAAAAUUUCUUAUUCCUUUUACAAUGAGAUCACAAUAAAGAUGAAUUUACAUACUUAAA